rnacentral:rRNA from 1 species
CUGCUGCCUCCCGUAGGAGUUUGGGCCGUGUCUCAGUCCCAAUGUGGCCGUCCGCCCUCUCAGGCCGGCUACCGAUCGUCGCUUUGGUGGGCCGUUACCCCGCCAACUGGCUAAUCGGGCGCGGGCCCAUCCCGUGCCGCCGGAGCUUUCCGCAUACUGCCAUGCGGCUGUAUGCGCUUAUGCGGUAUUAGCGCCUGUUUCCAGGCGGUAUCCCCCGGCACGGGGCAGGUUGCCCACGCGUUACUCACCCGUCCGCCACUAAGUA